rnacentral:rRNA from 1 species
UACGAAGGGGGCUAGCGUUGCUCGGAAUCACUGGGCGUAAAGCGCACGUAGGCGGAUCGCUAAGUCAGGGGUGAAAUCCUGGAGCUCAACUCCAGAACUGCCCUUGAUACUGGCGGCCUCGAGUCCGGGAGAGGUGAGUGGAACUGCGAGUGUAGAGGUGAAAUUCGUAGAUAUUCGCAAGAACACCAGUGGCGAAGGCGGCUCACUGGCCCGGUACUGACGCUGAGGCGCGAAAGCCAGGGGAGCAAACGGG